UCUCUGUUUUCAGUUCCAUUGAAUUUAUUUCUGUUUUCGAUUCCAUUGAGUUUGAAUUCUCCAUUUUGCUGUAACCAUGGUCACUGUUGUUGGAAUUGCUGACGCCGCUCUCGGUGCUGAUUGGAUCAACCACCAUAGCUAUUCUGCAUCACCUUCACUUUCCAUCAUUUCUGUCAGGUUCCGUUCUUGCCGGGGAUGGCCGUUGGAUUUGUAACAGCCCCAACUUUUGUUUCCCUCUUGAUUCGGUGAGUUUUUCUUGUUUUGAAACUCUCGCUGUUAGUGAUUUGUUAUAAUUUAUUUAGGAUUUUGUGACGUUAACGUUUUAGGGUUGAGUUACUAUUGUGUACGGUGCUUCUAUAGAUGUCACUGCUAUGAAAAAUGGUCGGAUUCAAUGUCGUUGAAUUUGGGCCAAGAGAAAAGAAUUUUUAGUCGCUUUUGGCUUUGUGGGUUUCGACUAAUUGAGGAAUCGGAUGAAAGAGCAUUAUGAAGAGUUAUACUGCGUUUUGGUUUAUAUGAUAUUGUAUUAAUUAGAUAAUUUUUCUUCCCUCAUCUUUGUUAUUACAAUUUUGUAAGAGGGAUAGAAAUUGUAUGUUUUAUAUGUAUAUUACAUUAUAAGCUAUUAUGUAAGAAGUCUGGUAUAUGAAUCUAUGCCUGUUUAUUUUUUUUUAAGAUAAAGUAUUUAUUUCCGGGUUAGAAAGAAAUCA